rnacentral:rRNA from 1 species
AUUUUUCCAUGGCGGGGACGGAAUAGGUUUGGAACGUGAGGGGAGCAAGGAGCGAGAAGAGCUGGCUCUUGCUGCGGUUGGCCGGCGGCCGACGAAGGAAGGGGCGCAUCCAGGAGCCAGCGGAGGUACAGGGCCGGCGCCGCGGGGACACCGAAGUAGAGGGCCGGCACCGCGGGGAUACGGAAGUAGAGGUCCGGCGCCGCGGGGACACGGAAGUAUAGGGCCGGCGCCAGAGGGUGGAGAGCGGCGCCGGCGGCGGGGGGUGAAGAGUGGCACCGUCGGCGGGGGUGGAGAGUUGCACCGGCAGCAGGUUGAGGAGAACCACGACGGCAGCAGGGGAGUGGAGAGCGGCGCCGGCGGUGGGAGUAGAGGACAGCGCCGGCGACGGUGGUAGAGGGCAGCACCGGCGGCGCAGCGACGGGGUAGAGGCUGUCGCUGGCGGCGGGACGGGUUCUGGGGGGGCCGUGGGACCUAGGGCGGUGGCGGGCGUCGGUCGGCUGCCGCGGCGGUAGAGGGACGUGGCCUAGCUACGGGGGUAGAUGUGAACAUGCGAAAAAAGUCAACUGUGGUAUCCAUAAAAAAGUCAUGUGUAACACCCGAAAAAAAUCAAGUUAUCUUAGGUUUAUCUUUUUUUGACGCUGACCCAUUCCUAAGUAAUCAAGUACCUCGUUUUUGAACAUGCCACAACUAAGUCGAAGACAUGAAAAAGAACAAAGUCUGUAAACUAUGGAGAACAGUUGAUCUAUACAAUUAUGUACACGGGUACACGGUUUUCUCCUACUCGACCGACAGGUUUGAUUCAUCUCAAGCAGUUGUUUAUCGAAGUCAUCAAAUAGUCAUGUACAGACAAUCGUUUUAAGUACAAUGUUUACAAAAGCAUGAAGGUAAAAUGUUUUUUGUCUACAGUAAACAACGAGGUUAACACCUCUUUUACGUCACUUUUAUUUAUUUGACACGAAAGUUUUUUAAGCAAACGUCUCUUAAUAACACAAAUUCAACAAGAACAUGACGUUUUUGACACAGUACUAAAAAACGUUUUCAUCAAACACACUUUUUCCCCUUUUCUUCUGUACAAAAGAUCAACGUUCGUACUACGAGAAAUCCACAAACAACAAUUACGUCUUUUAUCAAAAAUUAUGGUUUCUUGUUGGAAUCGCUCUUAAAGUACAACUCUUUCAACCAUCCAAGCAUCUAUCUUUGAAUUGUUUAUAACAGGUAAAAUCAGAACUAGCUCAUAGUACAUACGCAGUCAGGAUUUAUGAAACAAGUAAUACUAGUCCCUAUUAUGUUUUUCGUAUAGGAAGUCAAGACAUCUAUACAAUGUUGGAGAGGCUUGUACAGAGGUGGCUGCAAGAGCCGCGGCAGGUGUUGAAGUAGCACACUCUCGAAGACGAGGUCUAGGAGAAGGAGGUACCACGGGCGGGCGGCACUGCUGGUCCAGACGUUGGCUUUGACUUCGUAUCACAAGAACCUUGGUUUGAUUUCGUUACGUUGCUCUUUCAAUUUUUUGUACCCGACUUCAUGGAACAGGACUUCGAGGAUAUCGGUGAAGAAACGGACCUACAUCCUUAGACUAUCUUUUUUGUUCCACACAGGGAGAUGUAUAAGUUCUCCUUUUUAACUAACGACUUUUACGAACACAAAUAUCUAUUAAAGCGAUAUACAAAGAAUAAAACUAAGUCGGGUUAUAGAUUAAAAUCAAGUCAAGUUAAUAGUAAAACCAAAUUCAAGUUCAGUUAAGAAUAAAAUAAAAUAGCAGAACACGAAGGUAGGUAAGACACCAGAUCUCGUCGGUAGUACCACAAACACGGAAGACUGAACACGUCAAACUAAAGAACCGUAUCACAGAACACGUACACACACCGUAAUUAGUUGGCAGAUUUCCUCUUGCCACAAGAUUUAUUUUCCUCUGUGCUCCAGCGGAGGCCGCGACAACCACCGCACUUCCGGUAGUUUACCAUUUAAAGGCUGGGAACAUUGGAGUCCAUGAUGAUGUUUCGUCUUUCCUAGAGACAUUCAAUCAAUUAUCGUGGUACUACACGGGCAACACGACGUUCUGAUGAUCAAGAAGUUGAUUUUUAUUUAUAUGUAAAGCGAACCGUACGAAAGACCUACACCAUAAUGUACUAUGUCAGAGUUUGUUCAUAUUUAAAGAAGAUAAUAGUCAAGUUAAAAGAGAUCAUACAUACAAGACUUCUACUACUCUCUUACCAGACCACCUCUACUACGUACAAACAAACGAAAAAUAGUACUAUAUAUUUUUCUACGACCAUCGAGAUCAUGGAUAUGAUGUUGUCGAGUAACUUUUUUUAUUCAAGUUAUGUAUGAACCUUUUUUCAAGUUAUGAUUCACAAGAGACGGAUAGGAAUGUAAUCGAUCAGAAGUGGUACAGGUCUAUCACGGAUCUUCUUCAAUUGAGUACUAAAGGUAUUUUGAUACAUGAUUAUUUAGUCUUGAGCACGUAAAGGUAUUUUAAGACAUUCAUAGCACACACACGACAAUGUUUAGACUUUAUAAAAAGGUUAGUAUGAUAACUACGUUAGUGGAUUUUUACAACUUCUUUUCGACACGUUCAUACCACGCACACGACGAUGUUUAGAUUUGAAGAACAGGUUAGUAAGAUCAUGACUACUUCUAGCUCAACUGACUUUAUUACAUCAGCUAAGGACUCUGGGAAUGAUUAGGAAGAUAUAUAUCUUCAACACGGACUAUCGGUAUGUACUGAAAACAGAAACAAGGGACGAACAAAAACAUUUUAAGAAACUUGACUAAAUCCACUAUAUAAACCUGGGAACGGAGUAAUCAUGUUGUUGUGCGAGGUGUCGGUCAGUCCUCUUCUCAACGUACGUCCGGUGGGAGACGAGGUAGGAGCUAGGCCGUGUCAGUAGAGGGAGAGUAGGAGAGAGACGAGACACACACACACACGUUCCUCACCUUCCUCUAUUACGUCCCCUCACCCUCCAGGAAGGUACCACUUAAGUAUCCGUAGACGGUACCUCUAACACUCGAGAGAGCUAAUAACGAACUCCUAAACACAACCAGACAGGUGACAUCAAGGACAUAUCGCCGUAGGAGAAAAAGAUCACAAGGAGAAAACUACAACAACGUCCACAAAUUAUUGGGUGACUAUACUAAAGACCUUUGUUCGAAGUCAUGUCUCUUCGAAGCCAUGCUCUUUUUUACCCAGCAGUGAAGUAGGUAUACGUUGGAGGACGCACCAACAGGUAAAAAUAAACCUCGAUGAGCGACACACCAGUAGGUAUACACAUAACACAACAGUCCAGCACACGUUCAAACAAUGUUCAAGUAAAUAUACAACCAUUGGUGACAAUAACGAAGAUCGAUAGCUAGACUGACAACAUAAUGACAUCGGGGAAGCGACCGAAUUAGAGGAUGAUAAACGAUCGAACCCUAACAUUUUUGUACUGUUCAAGUGUUGAUGUUUUCAACAUUCAAGUUUGUGCCGCA